AUUGAACGCUGGCGGCAGGCCUCACACAUGCAAGUCGAACGAGUGGCGGACGGGUGAGUAAUGUCUGGGAAACUGCCCGAUGGAGGGGGAUAACUACUGGAAACGGUAGCUAAUACCGCAUACCAUCGGAUGUUCCCAGAUGGGAUUAGCUUGUAGGUGAGGUACCGGCUCACCUAGGCGACGAUCCCUAGCUGGUCUGAGAGGAUGUCCUGCCACACGGGAACUGAGACACGGUCCAGAGUCCGACGGGAGGCAGCAGUGGGGAAUAUUGAGCAAUGGGCGCACGCCUGAUGCAGCCAUGCCGCGUGUAUGAAGAAGGACUUCGGGUUGUAAAGUACUUUCAGCGGGGCGGCGUGACCCGCAGAAGAAGCACCGGCUAACUCCGGGCCAGCAGCCUCGGGAAUAC
rnacentral:rRNA from 1 species